rnacentral:tRNA from 1 species
GGCUCAGUGGUCCAAUGGUAAAGCGCUCGUCGCGGAGCUAAAGGGUCCUGGAUUCGAUUCCCAACGGGGUCA